AGGGUUUGAUUCUGGCUCAGGAUGAACGCUAGCUACAGGCUUAACACAUGCAAGUCGAGGGGCAUCAGGAAGAAAGCUUGCUUUCUUUGCUGGCGACCGGCGCACGGGUGAGUAACGCGUAUGCAACUUACCUAUCAGAGGGGGAUAACCCGGCGAAAGUCGGACUAAUACCGCAUGAAGCAGGGGCCCCGCAUGGGGAUAUUUGCUAAAGAUUCAUCGCUGAUAGAUAGGCAUGCGUUCCAUUAGGCAGUUGGCGGGGUAACGGCCCACCAAACCGACGAUGGAUAGGGGUUCUGAGAGGAAGGUCCCCCACAUUGGUACUGAGACACGGACCAA
rnacentral:rRNA from 1 species